AUUGAACGCUGGCGGCAGGCCUAACACAUGCAAGUCGAGCGAGCGGCGGACGGGUGAGUAAUGUCUGGGAAACUGCCUGAUGGAGGGGGAUAACUACUGGAAACGGUAGAUAAUACCGGAUACUUAUAGAUGGAUCUGCGCUGCAUUAGCUAGUUGGUAAGGUAACGGCUUACCAAGGCAACGAUGCAUAGCUGGUCUGAGAGGAUAACCAGCCACACUGGAACUGAGACACGGUCCAGACUCCUACGGGAGGCAGCAGUGGGGAAUAUUGCACAAUGGGCGCAAGCCUGAUGCAGCCAUGCCGCGUGUAUGAAGAAGGCCUUCGGGUUGUAAAGUACUUUCAGCGGGGAGGCGUUACCCGCAGAAGAAGCACCGGCUAACUCCGUGCCAGCAGCCGCGGUAAUAC
rnacentral:rRNA from 1 species